UUCCAUCGUUUCUCCUCGCAGCCAGAGCCUGAGCAUCCGCGAUCAGCGUUGGUGUCCCUCUUUUCUAUUUUCGUUUCGAGAGAAACGUCAGCCGCACGAGGCGACUUGUAGAAGGAAAUCGAGGCGCGUGAACGACGUUGCCACUUCUUCGUACGAUACGAGGGUAGCAAAUAGCUUGGCGAAAAGGAACUGUGGACGUGGACGAUGCUUCAGGUGCCAGUGACGGCCGCCGCUGGACCGUGCUCUGUCAUUGGCUGGUCGAAUGUAAACCGAAGGCCUGCGUUUUAUCGGUUUCGAUGGAAGAUUGACUGGUGGGUGAUUUUCAGGCACGGAUAGAGAGCGUUAUGAUUCUUACGAUGAGUUCGCCGCCGUCGUGGUGUCUGCGAUAUGGGAUCUUUUUAUUUCCUAGCACGGUCGUAUGCCACGUGGAUCUUUAUGGCGCGUGAUUUAAUAUCGGCACCAGAGAACGAGCGAGAAUCGUAGUGCACUUAACCCGUAACUACUAAGGUCUCGUAUGCCAAUCACAAUAUUUUUGUCGUGGUUUAACCUGACCAUACACAGCACGAAGAUAAUAAUCUUAUCAUAUUUUCACUUGCGGUUUUCGUCUUAUAACACAGCUGGCAUCUCUAAAAUCCUCUUAUCACUCUCUGCAAAA